GACGAACGCUGGCGGCGCGCCUAAUGCAUGCAAGUCGAGCGACGCAUGCCCGGUGGGUAACCACUAGGUAUGACGGAGCGGCGAACGGGUGAGUAACACGUGAGUAACCUGCCCCGAAGACCGGGAUAGCCCGGGGAAACCCGGAUUAAUACCGGAUACCCUCUCUGGAUCGCAUGGUCCGGUGAGGAAAUGCCUUUGUGCUUCGGGAUGGACUCGCGGCCUAUCAGCUUGUUGGUGAGGUAACGGCUCACCAAGGCUACGACGGGUAGCUGGUCUGAGAGGACGAUCAGCCACACUGGGACUGAGACACGGCCCAGACUCCUACGGGAGGCAGCAGCAGGGAAUCUUGUCCAAUGGGCGCAAGCCUGAGACAGCGACGCCGCGUGAGGGAUGAAGGCCGUCGGGUUGUAAACCUCUUUCAGGAGGGACGAAAUUGACGGUACCUCCAGAAGAAGCCCCGGCCAACUACGUG
rnacentral:rRNA from 1 species